UGCGCAGGCGGUUUUGUAAGUCUGAUGUGAAAUCCCCGGGCUCAACCUGGGAAUUGCAUUGGAGACUGCAAGGCUAGAAUCUGGCAGAGGGGGGUAGAAUUCCACGUGUAGCAGUGAAAUGCGUAGAUAUGUGGAGGAACACCGAUGGCGAAGGCAGCCCCCUGGGUCAAGAUUGACGCUCAUGCACGAAAGCGUGGGGAGCAAACAGGAUUAGAUACCCUGGUAGUCCACGCCCUAAACGAUGUCUACUAGUUGUCGGGUCUUAAUUGACUUGGUAACGCAGCUAACGCGUGAAGUAGACCGCCUGGGGAGUACGGUCGCAAGAUUAAA
rnacentral:rRNA from 1 species